CCUCUUUUCUUGCCAUUAUUAUUAUCAACUUCAUUUCAUGAUGAUUUUCUGAGACUCCAGUAUAUAAUGGAAGGGGUGUGAAAACAGGAGCCACUCUGGGCCAUGACAUGCUGGAGCGAGCUUGCUGUGGCUCAUGAGAACUGAUGGUGAGGUCUCUUCCCAGUUCUGUGUCCAUAGCUUGAAAUCAGCCACAAUGGGAGUAUUUACACCAUGAAAAUCUACGAACACCACAAAUGAGUCCUGGGGCCCCCAGGGAGCUGGCUGUUAAAUAUUUGCCAGUCCACCUCUGACUCUGCUUCUCAAUAUGCUGGGUACAGACCUGCGUGGGCCCAGUCCUGUUUGGGUCCCUCUUAUGUAGCAAUGGAAUGCUGCGUACUCAGUCUUUCUGUUUGGCAGAGCCGAUAACACCCAGCGAAUAAGGAGAGGUGCAAGGCGCAUGGCUGUCUGUCAUCUUCUGGUCAGCUUGAUGUCUGCAAUGCUGGAGACUAGCAUUACAUCAUCGGAGAUGGUGACACAAGUACAGUGAAUUGUGCCACCAAGCCAGGAGCCUAAUGGAAUCAGAGAGCAGAUGGUGAAGACGUACUGCUAUCCUUUCCAGGCUGUGCCUGAGUCUGGGUGUCCACUGGCCAGCAGAGAGAAAGACAAGAUGGCUCCCACCCGCCCAAAGCUGCAGAAAAGGACCCCGAUACAGUCAAUUUUACUCGCUCACAUGCCAAUUAAUUUGGAAGAUGCUUAGAAAGAGAACUGACAACAUUGCUAAUGGAUGUGGCGUGUGAGGUGGAGAUUUCCAAGGUGAUUCUCAGGUUUUGUCCAGUGACACUAGGUAGAUGGCACGCCAUCGAGUGAUAAGGUAGAUUUUCACACUGAGUAGAUGGCAUGUUGCCUUGUGACAAAGGCAAAUCUACAGGAGCAGCAGGGCGGAGGUAAAUGCUACUGGUAUGCCCACUUUGCAGAAGUGGAAACUAAUGAUUAAAGGAUUUAAGUGAUGCGCCUCGUAUCACACAGCUCAUAAGUGACAGAGUGGGGUUGAAGUCCAUGUGUGCCUGGUCCCCGAGCCCAUGCUCCUGCUGCCUCACCCCUUCUGGCUCUCCUGCUUCCCCACUCUGCCUCAUCCCCAGCCCCGCCCUGCCCCCGGUGCAGUCACUGUGUCUCCUGGUACGUUCU
rnacentral:lncRNA from 1 species